rnacentral:rRNA from 1 species
UACGUAGGGUGCAAGCGUUAAUCGGAAUUACUGGGCGUAAAGCGUGCGCAGGCGGUUCUAUAAGACAGAUGUGAAAUCCCCGGGCUCAACCUGGGAACUGCAUUUGUGACUGUAGAGCUGGAGUACGGUAGAGGGGGAUGGAAUUCCGCGUGUAGCAGUGAAAUGCGUAGAUAUGCGGAGGAACACCGAUGGCGAAGGCAAUCCCCUGGACCUGUACUGACGCUCAUGCACGAAAGCUAGGGGAGCAAACAGG